CUUUACUAAUUUGGGGAAACUCCUGUAGAGAGCUAAAUGGCAUCAUCCUGACCAGUUGUCUUAUACUCAUCUCUUUACAGAGGUGUAGGAGGGCUGCAUCAGAAUCCCAUGAAUUGCAGCCACAGAAACUUUGUUCUAUUUUGAACCAUAACACAACAUCAGGGGAUUUUUUUUUAAGUAAGAAAACAAAGUGUCAUCAUGCUGACCUUUUCUUUCUGACUUUUGGACAACUGAGUUUGGACAUUUACUUGUUGAUGGACUGGAUGAUACCUUGAUGAUACCAGAUGAUGAUAUGAUGACACUGUGAAAUGACGUUAAGCCUGAUGUGACUGCAUUCAGUCUGCUGACUGUGGAAUAAAGAUUUCAAAUGAAGACAACAGCUUUAAAUUGUUUUAAGUUUUCUGUAUACAGCAUAUAUUGAAGCUUUUACUACUGUAUUUUGUAUUUGUAGUAUCUGUAUCUGUAUUUUGUUUGUAUCGUACUUUAUUGUAUUUUGAACUUUGUUUUAUCUCUCUUGUAAGUCUUAGGUAUCUGACCAUUUUAAAUGAAUAAAUGAAUCUUGGUGUGGGCGA